UCCUGUUAUGUGGGCGCUGGGGA
rnacentral:misc_RNA from 1 species